rnacentral:rRNA from 1 species
GACGAACGCUGGCGGCGUGCCUAAUACAUGCAAGUAGAACGCAGUUGCGAACGGGUGAGUAACGCGUAGGUAACUGCCUCAUAGCGGGGGAUAACUAUUGGAAACGAUAGCUAAUACCGCAUACUGUGAGAUGGACCUGCGUUGUAUUAGCUAGUUGGUUAGGUAAAGGCUAACCAUGGCGACGAUACAUAGCAGACCUGAGAGGGUGAUCGGCAAAACGGGGACUGAGACACGGCCCAGACUCCGACGGGAGGCAGCAGGAGGGAAUCGUAGGCGAUGGACGGAUGUCUGUCCGAGCAUCGCCGCGUGAGUGAAGAAGGUUUGCGGAUCGUAAAGCUCUGUUGUUAGAGAAGCGGUGACUAACCAGAAAGGGAGAGCUAACUACGUGCCAGCGACCGCGGUAAUUC